GAAUCGUGUUUCCUUAGCAAAGAUUAAUCAUUGCUUACAUAUAUACAUUAAUUCCCCAUUAUAUACUAUCUUCCCAACUUCUUACUUACAACAGUGGCCCACCCAUCGUGCGAAGUAUGUUUGUAUCUUUUUAUAUUUUUCCAGUAUUUUGUUACUCCCACGAAGUAUCUCCAGCGCUUCAUUUAUUCAAUGAAAAAUAAUCGUAGAGAUCAAAAAUUCUACUGAAUACUUUUACUUAUAUACAGCUAUUUUCAGACAUG